rnacentral:tRNA from 1 species
GACCCUGUCGUCUAAUGGCUCAGGACAUCCGGCUUUCGCCCGGACAAUACGGGUUCGAAUCCCGUCAGGGUUG